AAAAUAGAGACCCGUCCGUUUGGUCUCUUUAUAAAAUCGUCAAUUGCCUCUCUCUCACACUCUCUCCCUCUCUCUACAAAACCCUAACCCUGAUUUUGGGCUUUGCUUCUACCCAUAACCCAUUGAUUUUAAUUUAUUUGUUUUUUUGCAGCAUCUAUACAUCCAAGCUAAGUUGUAGGUUGUGCUAACUGCUAUCUAAUAGUAAUGUGAUUCGGCUAUUCUGUGGAGAUUCUGCUGUAAUGUAUGUGAUCACCAUAUUAAUUUAAGUCUUUGGACCCAGCUAUAUUUUGAAUUUGCUCGCAUUCACCGUAUGUUUUAUCAAUGAAAUUCUUUACUUUAUUGGAAAAUAAUAAAAAAAAGAGAAGAAAAAAGAAGUCUCUGGGGGAAAGAGAGACGAGUCUGAACUCUGAAGAAUGAAUGAUUUCUCUUCCAUACAAUUUAAGGGUCAUUCCUGUUGUUGAUUCAUUCGUUGGUUGUUUGUGUAUAGAGGAUACAAACGGGAAGCUGGUCAACAGUCUGAAACCCUAUUCGAUAUUCUUAACGGAUAUGAUACAAAAAAGCUACUUGUUGCUUCUGGCGUCGUUGGCUUUCUAUGUGGUCUCCUCAAUCCCCGUUUAUCGGGGAGGGCUUUGAUUGAGGCAAUUGCUAAUAUCAAACAGAAGGACUGAAGUUGAUGUUUGCACCAGUGUUUGCCACUUUCCAAGCUGUGGGUGGAAAGAAGACUAAUGCCUUCUUUCACAAUAUAUAUGACGGGACUUGGGACACGAUGAAAGGAAAGCCUUACUAUUGUUAGGGAUGUGAAGGAUGUGUUAUACCAUUCCUACUUCUCAAUAAUGAAUGAUUUGCGACUUUAAGGACCUCCUGGUGGAAAAUACUAUGAGAUCAGGCUUUGUUGAAUCAUCUAUUUCGAAGUUCUUUUUCCCGUCUUCUCCAAUUUGAAGUUGGGUUGUCAUAGUUCACGUCGUAGGAGACGACCGCCUAUCUUCGAUCUUUAAAGUUAAUUUCUAUUUUUUAAUAAAUUAUGUUUCUUUUAUAUAAUUUAUGUCGAUUGAUGACUUGACAUGAAGCACUUAUGCAACGCACAAGAUUAUGCGUAUCAUGUAUAAUUUGUGUUUUAUGUGCGCACAAUUUAUACCAAGAUUAUUUAUUUAACCUAAA